UGGUAGUGGUGAGGACA
rnacentral:miRNA from 1 species